rnacentral:rRNA from 1 species
UACGGAGGGUGCAAGCGUUAUCCGGAUUCACUGGGUUUAAAGGGUGCGUAGGUGGAUUGGUAAGUCAGUGGUGAAAUCUCCGGGCUUAACCCGGAAACUGCCAUUGAUACUAUCAGUCUUGAAUACCGUGGAGGUCAGUAGAAUAUGUCAUGUAGCGGUGAAAUGCUUAGAUAUGACAUAGAAUACCAAUUGCGAAGGCAGCUGACAAAACUGUAACUGACGCUGAGGCACGAAAGUGCGGGGAUCAAACAGG